rnacentral:rRNA from 1 species
CGAAAGAUGAUUGCUAGUGUCGAGCUGCAUGCACUCUCUUGUGAGCCAACUUCGCAUUAUACACUCCGCCUGGGGAGUAUAGUCGCACGAUGAUAACUCUCAGGAAUUUUCAGGGGCCCCCACAAGCGCUGUAGAAUGUGUUUUAAUUCUAAACACCACGCAAAAACUUAUCACCUUUUGACAUGUCUGGACAGCCCCCGAGACAUGGCUUUCCCUUCUCGGACUAAGACAGACGUGCUGCGCGGGUGUCUUCACCUCUCGUGUCGAGAUGUUGGGUUAUAUCCCCCAACAAGAGCAACCCUCUCCAUUAUUUGCCCUCUUUUAAUUGGGAACUCUCAUGGGACUGCCGGUGCUAAACCGGAGAAAAGUGGGGAUAACAUCUAGUCCUCAUGGCCCUUAUAGGGUGGGCUACACACGUGCUACAAUGGGGACUACACAGGGUUAAUCCUUAAAAGUUGUCUCAGUUCAUAUUGUCCUCUGCAUCUCAAGGGCAAGUGUUUGGAAUCACUCGUAAUCGCGGAUCUGCAUGCCGCGGUGAAUACGUAUCCGGGCCUUGUACACACCGCCCGUCACACCCUGGGAGUUGGUUCUACCCGAAGGCGGUGCGCUAACCACACAAUGGAGGCAGCCGACCACCCUUAUGGUCAGCGACUGGGGUGAAGUCUCAAAAAGGAUAGCACAAAAAAGUCUACAGGGGGAACACAA